UUCCGGUUGAUCCUGCCGGACCCGACUGCUAUUUGGGUGAGAAUAAGCCAUGCGAGUCGAAUGGGAUACCUAAACUUCCCAUGGCAAACUGCUCAGUAACACAUGAUCAACUUAACCUAUAGAGAAAAAUAAUCUCGGGAAACUGAGGAUAAUAUUUCAUAGUUGAAUCGGCUUGGAAAAGUUUUUCAACCAAAAGGAUAAGAAAAAUGGUUCUUAUUCGCUAUAGGAUAGGAUCGUGGACGAUUAUGGUUGUUGGUGAGGUAACGGCUCACCAAGCCGAUAAUCGAUAGGGGCCGUGAGAGCGGGAGCCCCGAGAUGGGUACUUAGACAACGACCCAGGCCUUACGAGGCGCAGCAGGCGCGGAACCUCCGCAAUACACGAAAGUGUGACGGGGUUACCCAAAGUGUUCAGUUUUGGACUGUGGUAGGUGAGUAAUGUUCCCUACUAGAAAGGAGAGGGCAAGGCUGGUGCCAGCCGCCGCGGUAAAACCAGCUCUUCAAGUGGUCGGGAUAAUUAUUGGGCUUAAAGUGUCCGUAGCCGGUUUAGUAAGUUCCUGGUAAAAUCGGGUAGCUUAACUAUCUAUAUGCUAGGAAUACUGCUAUACUAGAGGGCGGGAGAGGUCUGAGGUACUACAGGGGUAGGGGUGAAAUCUUAUAGUCCUUGUAGGACCACCAGUGGCGAAGGCGUCAGACUGGAACGCGCCUGACGGUGAGGGACGAAAGCCAGGGGAGCGAACCGGAUUAGAUACCCGGGUAGUCCUGGCCGUAAACGAUGCAUACUAGGUGAUGGUGUGGCCAUGAGCCGUAUCAGUGCCGUAGGGAAACCGUUAAGUGUGCCGCCUGGGAAGUACGGUCGCAAGGCUAAAACUUAAAGGAAUUGGCGGGGGAGCACCACAAGGGGUGAAGCCUGCGGUUCAAUUGGAUUCAACGCCGGG
rnacentral:rRNA from 1 species